CGAUCCUCCUGCCUUGACUUCCCAGAGUGUUGGGAUUACAGGUGUGAGCCACUGCACCCAGCAGUAUAUAGCCUUUCUUUACUACUUUUUUUUUUAAAGACAGUGUCCUGCUCUGUCACCCACACUGGAGUGUAGUGGCAUGAUCACAGCUCACUGCAGCCUUGACUGGGCUCAGGUGAUUCUCCCACCUCAGUUUCCUGAGUAGCUGGGACUACAGGCACAUGACACCAUUCCUGGCUAAUGAUUUUUUUUUUUUUUUAAGAGAGAGGGUCUCACUACAUUGCCCAGGCCAGUCCAACUGGGUUCAAGUGAUCCUGUCAUCUCAUCCUCCCAAAGUGCUGGGAUUGCAGGUGUGAGUCACUGCACCUAGUCCUUUAACUUUUAAAAUUUUAUUUUAAAAUAAUUUCACAGAUAAAAGGUACAUUUUACUGAAAUUAUGUGUACAUUGUCUCCCCUGGUCUCCCUCUCUCUUCAAAAUUUAGAUAUUCCCCCAAGUCAGGGAGUGAACACUGCAUCCAGUCCAUGGACCCCAUGCAGAUCUCGCCAGCUGUCCCAACAGUGUCUUGUCCUUUCCUGGUCCAGGGUCCCUGUCAAGAGCAUCCCAAUCUGUCAUCCAGGCUGGAGUGCAGCAGUGUGAUCCUGGCUCACUGCAACCUUGCUCUCCUGGGCUUUCCUCCUACCUCAGCCUCCCGAAUAGCUGAGACUACAGGUGUGCACAUCCAUGCCCAGCUAAUUUUUUUUUGUACAGUCGAGGUCUUGCUAUGUUGCCCAGACUGCUAACUACUUUUAAGUGUACAGUUUAUUCAUAAUGUGUAGCCACCACAAUCCAACUCCAUAACUUUUCAUUUUGUAAAACUUAAACUGUUCCCAUGAAACACUAACUCCCCUCGCAUGCUCCUUCCAGCCCCUGGAAACCACCACUUGUUUAUGAUUUUCACUCUAGGAACCUCCUAUAAAUGGACAGUAUCUGCCCUUCUGUGGCUGGUUUAUCUUACAUAGCCUAAUGUCCUUAAGGUUUAUCCGUGUUGUAAUAUGUCAAUUUCCCUCCUUUGUUAAGGCUGAGUAAUAUUCCAUUGUGUGUAUAUAUUCCACAUUUUGCUUAUCAAUACAUUGUCAGUAGGCACUUGGGGUUGGACACGGUGACUGACACCUGUAAUCCCAGCACUUUGGGAGGCCGAGGCAGGUGGAUUCCCUGAGAUCAGGAGUUCAAGACCAGCCUGGUCAACAUAGUGAAACCCCAUAGCUACUAAAAAUAUGCAAAUUAGCUGGGCAUGGUGGCG
rnacentral:lncRNA from 1 species